UGAUAGAGGACAGAAAAUGUUCCAAAAGUAUACAUGAUAUUUAUUUUAUCACAUUGUUUCCUUUAAAAUCUUUCGUUCACAUUUCCAUUCUUUUAAGAUCUCGGGAAUAUCAUUCAGUCCAUAGUUUAACAUUGUCUUUGUUUCUUUUAAAAGAAAAGGUCCAUAUAAACCGGACAAUAAAAUAAGGAAACCAAGGGGUAAAACAAGGAUAAAAACAAGGCAGCAGGAGAACACAAGCAGCAGGGACAUGACCCAACCUCUCGACCCAUAAAUUAAAGAUAAUGUUAGACUAACAUAAAAAGAAAGAAAAUGACCGUAACGCUAGCUGACUCCUACCGUCGCACGCCCGCACGAGCUACUCGGCCAUUCCAGUGCUUCGAUAGUGCUCACACCGCACCCCAGCAGACCCUGGACUGCCAACCGAGCAGAGCUUUGGACGCCAUGUGAUGGUGCGCUAUGAAGCCCUCAACCAUCCGCGACACUACAGAAGAGCUCGUAUUAGCGGCCAUACAGAGUACGAAGAUAAUGAACGGACUGAAGUAAUCAUCACAUGCUCGAGAGCUUGUAAAAUGUCAAAAUUCCAAACAUUCAGAGUUGUUUUGAAUGAGCAGCUGGCUGCGUUGGCUGAAGAGAUAUCUGCGCUGUUUGAAAGAACAAUAGCGGAGUAUGAGGAUGAAAUCAGUCGCUCUAAAAAGGAGAACCAGAGGAAACAACAGCUCCUGGACACAGUUCUGAACCCGAGGAUUCCGCUGCUCAGAGUGGAUAACGGUCCCCGUCUGAACCAUCUCACUGAAAUUCCACAGAUUAAAGAGGAGCCAGAGGAACAGAGCAGCGUCACACAUGAGGAAGUGCAGCUGCCAGUGCCUAUUCCAAGGUCCAGUGCUCUCUGUGUCAAGAUUGAAGAGUCUUCACUGCCUCAAAAAAGACAACAAACAAAGCACCGAGAGGAAACACAAGGAGAGGACAUCAGCUCACAGCCACAUUUCCACUCAGAGACUGAGAGGCCCACUGAGCACUCUUCGGAGACUGACAAUUAUGAAGACUGGACUGCACCCAUGGAAGCAGAGGCUGUUGGAAACCAGCGCAACCAGGUUAAAAAAAAUGAUAAAAGCACCAAACUCUUCCCUCAAAACAAGGCUGCUCCAGAGACCAGUGGUGUUGUCAAGAUUGGACAGAAGUCUGCAACUGAUGGAGGAGCUAAGAAGAAGAAGCACCAGGGCUCCGUUCGUCAAAAGAGUUGUGGAAAAAAGGGACUUUGCAAAAUCACACACAGAUUCACACUGGGCACCUCUCAUGGACCUCCGGGACUCUGCCCAGGACUCUGCUCUGGUUUGGGCCUAAAAGCGGAUUAUUCC
rnacentral:lncRNA from 1 species